UCCGUAGGUGGAUAAUUAAGUCAGGGGUGAAAGUCUGCAGCUCAACUGUAGAAUUGCCCUUGAUACUGGUUGUCUUGAGUCAUUAUGAAGUAGUUAGAAUAUGUAGUGUAGCGGUGAAAUGCAUAGAUAUUACAUAGAAUACCAAUUGCGAAGGCAGAUUACUAAUAAUGUACUGACACUGAUGGACGAAAGCGUGGGGAGCGAACAGGAUUAGAUACCCUGGUAGUCC
rnacentral:rRNA from 1 species